ensembl:lncRNA
GGGUGGAGGGAGUGUGGUAUCAGGCGCAGCUGUGCUGCUCGGGCUCUAGAUUGCGGAGCCGAGAGCAUUGCCUCUGCACACGGCUCUCCACUGCCAUCUUGAACUGAAUGUCCCGGGCAGCUUUUCUGCACACAGCCCUGGAGCUGAGAUGUUGGCACAGUCCUGUUAUAAACGGGAACUCCAGGCCGAAGGGCCAAGUGCGAGGCCUCUGGACUUGGCACCCUAAGAGCAAAGGGACCUACAUGACGCACAAAGGAAAAGGUCUUGAUAGGGUCAAAUGAUUCAUCUGAAGCCAUAAAAUUGGUUAGUAAGAGUCACCAGAACACAAGACUCUUGACUUCCUAGGUGUGCAUCUUGUGACCCUCUUAUCAUCACCUGGGUGAGCUGAUGGUGCAGUGAUUGGCUACUGUGAAUUUAGUGACUGGCAUAUGAUAUGGAGGCCAAACCGGGCUCAAGAGUGACUGAAAACAAACCCGGAGGGAAGGACACUGCAGAAGCCCGCCAGACUCCUCGCUCCAUGGAAUUUUCCAGGCUAGAAUAUUGGAGUGGGUUGCCAUUUCCUACUGCAGGGGAUCUUCCCGACCCAGGGAUUGAACCUGCGUCUCCUGUGUCUCCUGCAUUGGCAGGCAGAUUCUUUACCACUGAGCCACCAUCACAACGUGUAUAUAUACACACAGAAACAGCAUUGCAAUUACUGGAAACUUGCUCUCCCAGCAGCCUGCCUCCAGGACCAGAGGGUCCUGCUGAUGUUCCAAGGAGGUGGGGGAAGACGGGCCAGAGAAGCACCUCCUUCUCUGCUGUCCUCCAGGAGUGAGCUGGCUGAUUGCUUCAUUCUAAGUGGCUCCUAUGUGUGCGACUUAGUCAUCUCUCAUCAGAUAUACACCACAACCUUGUCUGGUGAUUGCCCGCAUUUGCUGGUUUCAAGCUUUUUUCUCAGUAGUUUUGGGUGUAAAUGCUAUAGUGUGUAUACCAGGAAAGCCAUCCAGAUGUGGUUCUAACUCAGGAAUGCUGGAUUUACCCCUGGGGUCAAAAGAAGAACAGAAUCUAAUUUUUAUUGAAUUAAAAUUAAAAUAUUGAAUUAAAAUGUUAUUGAAAGUAUUCUUAUUGAGUACUUACUACAUGCU